UACGUAGGUGGCAAGCGUUGUCCGGAUUUAUUGGGCGUAAAGGGCUCGUAGGCGGUUUGUCGCGUCGGGAGUGAAAACCUUGGGCUUAACUCAGGGCUUGCUUUCGAUACGGGCAGACUAGAGUUCGGCAGGGGAGACUGGAAUUCCUGGUGUAGCGGUGAAAUGCGCAGAUAUCAGGAGGAACACCGGUGGCGAAGGCGGGUCUCUGGGCCGAUACUGACGCUGAGGAGCGAAAGCGUGGGGAGCGAACAGG
rnacentral:rRNA from 1 species